rnacentral:rRNA from 1 species
UGCGUAACGCGUGAGCGACAUGCCCGUUGCCCGGGGACAACCGGUGGAAACGCCGACUAAUCCCCGAUGGGAUACGAUGCUGCAUGGCAUUGUAUUGAAAGUUACGGCGGCGACGGAUUGGCUCGCGUCCGAUUAGCUUGUUGGCGGGGUGACGGCCCACCAAGGCUACGAUCGGUAGGGGUUCUGAGAGGAAGGCCCCCCACAAUGGGACUGAGACACGGCCCAUACUCCUACGGGAGGCAGCAGUGAGGAAUAUUGGUCAAUGGGCGGAAGCCUGAACCAGCCAUGCCGCGUGCGGGAAGGAGGCCCUAUGGGCUGUGAACCGCUUUUGCCUGGGGGCAAUAAGGGCGUCGCGCACGUCCGAUGAGAGUACCAGGCGAAUAAGCAUCGGCUAACUCCGUGCCAGCAGCCGCGGUAAUACGGGGGAUGCGAGCGUUAUCCGGAUUCAUUGGGUUUAAAGGGUGCGUAGGCUGUGCGUCAAGUCGGGGGUGAAAUUCCGGUGCUCAACACCGGGGCUGCCCUUGAUACUGUCGCGCUGGAGUGCGGAUGCCGCCGGAGGAAUGAGUGGUGUAGCGGUGAAAUGCUUAGAUAUCACUCAGAACACCGAUUGCGAAGGCAUCUGGCGAAUCCGUAACUGACGCUGAGGCACGAAAGCGUGGGGAUAGAACAGGAUUAGAUACCCUGGUAUUCCACGCCGUAACGAUGAUGGCUAACCGCCGGCGACACACUGUCGGUGGCCAAGCGAAAGCGAUAAGCCAUCCACCUGGGGAGUACGUCGGCAA